AUGUCCGAUCUCCGCGCCCCGGAGCACCAGGUCGCCGGCCACCGCGCCGCGCCCGACAAGCUCGGCCCGCUCGUCGACGGCGCCGGCCUCUUCUACAAGCCGCUGCAGGCCCUCGACCGCGGCGAGCAGGAGCUGGCCUUCUACACGGCCUUCUCCGCCCAUCCCGACGUGCCGCCCCGCAUCCGGGACGCCUUCUUCCCGCGCUUCCACGGCACCCGCCUCCUCCCCACCGCCGCCUCCCCCGGCGAGUCCCACCCGCACCUCAUCCUCGACGACCUCCUCAAGGGCCUCGCCGCGCCCUCCGUCACCGACAUCAAGAUCGGCGCCUGCACCUGGCCCCCGCGCGCGCCGGAGCCCUACGUCGCCAAGUGCCUCGCCAAGGACCGCGGGAGCACCAGCGUGCUCCUCGGCUUCCGCGUCUCGGGGGUCAUGGUCUCCGACCCCAGCGGCGCCGUCUGGCGCCCGGACAGGUCCGAGCUCAAGGGGACGGACAUCCCCGGCGUGCGCCGCAUGCUCCGCCGCUACGUGUCGUCGGCCGGCGGCGACGGCGGGGGUGAGGACUGCGCGCUCGCGGCGGCCGUGUACGGGGGCGAGGGCGGGGUCCUGGCGCAGCUGCGGGAGCUCAAGGCGUGGUUCGAGGUGCAGACGCUGUUCCACUUCUACUCGGCGUCGAUCCUGCUGAGCUACGACGCCAACGCGGUGACCGCGCCCGGCGGCGCGCCGAGGGUGAAGCUGGUGGACUUCGCGCAUGUGGUGGAGAGCGAGGGGGUGAUCGACCACAACUUCCUGGGCGGCCUCUGCUCCCUCAUCAAGUUCAUAGACGACAUUGUCUCUUCUGACAAGGCGCCUCCGGCUCAGUCUUGA
rnacentral:rRNA from 1 species